UUAUACCAUUGAGUCCCUUCCAUACAGACAGCAAUACACUAUGACAGCAAUACACUAUGACAGCAAUACACUAUGCACUAAUACAAUACACUGGCAUAAAAUUCUAAUUCUAAAUUCUAAAUUCUUGAUGAUUCCUACCAGUUAGUGGGGAGGCCACUGUUGUCCAGAAAACGUGAAAAGACACACAGCCCAGCCAGGAGACGCCAAAUUGUCGUGGAAAUUAGCAAGGAAACACUCGCAGACCUCUGAAGCUGGCUACAAAUCUUUUUGUCUGGUAUGGAAAUCGAUGAAACAACUUUGGUCAGCUUGAUCAACCCCAUCUACUUCCCUGGCAAGUUGUGGCAUUUGGUGAACGAUCCUCAGAUUCACUCAAUCUGUUGGGACGCCACUGGGGAAGGAAUACUCAUCCAUCAGCAACCCUUCGAAGCUGAAGUGCUAUUGUCCCAACCCAGACAGUUGACCGAGUAUUUCAGAACGACAGACUUCAUCAGUUUCGUUCGCCAGCUGAACCUGUACGGCUUCAGAAAAGAACGCACAGACCGUGACGUCUCAGACAAGCAACCCAACAUCUCAUCCAUUAAGGCCCAACUGCACCACUUUUACAACCCGUACUUCAAACGGGAUAAGCCUGAGCUUCUGCUCAAACUAAAGCGACUCACGCGUCUCAACAGGGCCAAGCUCGCCGGGAUAGAGGUGACCAACAGGAAGUCAAAACCUUGCCAUAAUGCGAUGCUGAAUUUGCCACAGGAAACCUCUGCCUUAAUGAAAACAGGUUCAGUCUUGCUUGGACAUCAGGGAACCCCUUACCAUCAUCCCUGUAAUGGCCCUCAGCAGGAGAAGGAGUGCGACAGAACAUCCAAUUCCUCCCAAGCAUUUGUAGUGGGCCAUGUUGAUCCUUCUCCAGUUACUUUAAACACUAACAACGCUGUGCCGGUCCCUGUGUCCCACCACUUCCCAGUGGACUCGCCGAGUGCACAUCCCUCCAGCGUCAUGCACAUGCAGCAGGGCGUCAUGCCUCAUCACUCACAGCAUGGGUUUUACACACCAGUGAAUCAGUGCCCUAGCCCAGACUUCUUGGAUUCUAAAGUGCCAAGCUUUCAACAACCAGCUGCUUCCUACUCUCCUUGUGGCUAUUACCCUGACGACUCAGUCGGAUACGCUCAUCCGAUUGAACAGGAUCCAUACUGGAAAGCAGGUGAUGUUCCAGAGUCCAGAACGAGUGACAUGAAAGAGAAAGAGGAGCUGGAUAUUUUAAAACUGGCGGAAGAAUUACAGAUAUGGGAAAUCUUCAUGAAGGACUUUUGGGUGCCGAAGGAUGCCGGUUUCUCUUUAACAUGACAAGCUGCAUUUCUUAGUUGUAUUAACUUAAGAGACAGAAACAAGAGAGGCUACUACUACUAUAAUGUGCAGCGGCGUGUUUUUGGGUAGCAACCAGAAGCAUCAGCGACAAGACACACGACUUUAAUAUCUCGGAGACAGCUUUUCCUACUCAGGCUUCUCUGAGGACUUCAGUGAGAUUGAGUACUGAGCAAGACACUGGAAUAUUCUGUGUUUGCAUCUAUUUUUGUUGCGAUGCAUGACCAAACUGAGAGACGCAUUUCAUUGGUUUUCUUAGUGGAAUUCAUUCAUUGACAAAAUAUUACCAAAAAUUUUUUGAUUUUACAAGGACAUCUUGGCAACUUUGUUAUUUUAUAAAUCUAGCUUUAGCAGUUCUUAAUUAAGAAAUGCUUUUUGUCUUUUAAAGGAGCAGAUUGUAAUUUUGUUCAGCUCUCUGCUUGCCUGCGAGGCAAAUUGCAACUGAAAUGCAAACACUGAUAAGCCCUUAUCCUUGCUGUUGAAACUACAUAUGCCUUGCGAGCUGCAUUUUAAGGCCGGACAGAUCCGUAGAAGAGCUAUAUUCUAGGCCGGAAAAAAUUUAAACAGAAAUAAGUGAGAUCUCUUCCUUGCACAAAUGUGGAUUAGUUUUUCUAAGGUAACUUUGAAAGGAGAUCAUUAUUAGAUCUAGAAGCACUUUCAUAUAUCGAAGCCUGCACCUUUGAGCGAUUUUCUUCAUUGACAUCACCUGGCGUUUGAUUAUGUUUGAAUAUCAUAAACAUUAAAAGAGCAAUAAUACUCACUUCUUGUUGACAGUGUACAUUUAUGCUGAACAAAACUAUAUCAUAAUGUAUUGUAUUGUUUGUAUGGUCACUGAUGUUAUGUUAUAUCGUAUCAGGUCAUUUCAUUUAGAUUAAAAAGUCAAACCUUUUGUAUUAUUUAGUUUGUUUUUGAUAACUUAAUGAGUUGUAUGUUUUUAUGGUAUUAUAUCAAAAUGAUUAAAUACUGUUUGAUAUGGAAGCCCUCAAGAAACCUUUGAAAUGUAUUCAACGUUUAGACGUGUUUCUAGGUUAUUGUUUUUUUUUUUUUUUCAUGUUUUCAUGUGACUUGUACACAUCUCAUAAGAUGAUUGCACUGGUUUUUAAUGGUUUUAGAAAUGUAAAUAUCAAUCCUACUAUACAAACAUCUCUUACAUAUGGACAGAUGCCAUAAUGUAAAUGUAGAUGGUGCCAUCCAGUGGGAGAAUUUUGACGUGAAAAUCAAAUGGUAAGUCAGUUCUAUGGCUUAACUCAGAAAUGAAUGAAAUGUAAGACGGAAACAAAAUAAUGGCGACAAUUUAUCUUGGUCCCACAACUUACUAACUUGUGGACAUGGAUUAAUUAUCUCAUUCGUACAACUUCCUAAGUCAUAUUUAUGACUUAAUUGUCUUGUUCCCACGCCUUAGUCGUAGACAUGAUUUAAUUCUCUUGUUCCUACACCUUACAAACUCAUAAACAUAGUUUAAUUAUCUCAUUCCAACACCUUACUAACUCAUGGACAUGGUUCAGUUAUCUUGUUCCAGCACCUUACUAACUCAUGGACACGGUUUAAUUAGCUCAUUCCAACACUUAUCCAACAAUUAUCUCAUAGAUAAAUAACAUGAAUAUCACUCAUGAUUUAUCCAUCAGAGACAUAUUUCUAAUAAUAUACGCAUGAUCUUAGAUAUAUUCGAUUAUUCAGAUUUAAUUUCCACUGAUAGUUUUAUCCUCUUUAGCCCUGAAUGCCCAGGCCAGGUUAUGGAUUAUUUUAUUACACGUGAAUGUCCCCACUAUGGAAAUCUAACCAAUAUACAUCAUCUAACACUUUCUAAGUGAGGUGUAACUUUGUUGUUAAUAGUCCCUUUUCACAAUGACUUCAAAAAUCUUCUGCUUUUCCGCAAAGCAGUGUAUAUGUACUUCCGUUAUACCUUAUGCGUGCUGGAUACUUCAGGAAAAUGUAGGAACGCGCUAACUAACAACACGAAAAACGAAAGAUAAAGUUUAUCAUAAUAAUAAUGUUUACGUAUUUACAGGUUCUUAUAUUUUGAUUCUUUUGAUAAUGUUAAUGAAUAAAAUGAAAAUAAAUAAACCUGAAGGUGAUGAGCCUCCUCAUUUUUCCUCAUGGACCUGUGACAAUGCCGUGUAACUGUCACCUCAUGCACAACUACAAAGCAAUGUUUUGGUGAAAGGGCACAACAUUAACCAUGAAUGGGUUACUGACUUUUAUCUAACAAUACACAACCUAUAGCUAACAUCGGUAAUAUGGAAACACGAUUUCAACAAGGGUUUGCGGUCUGUAUUACAGUAAAUUAAUCAAGAAUAAGAACUUAAAGAUGUUCUAUUUGCAGAAGAAAAAGCUAACAUCUACCGUUAUCCUAACCAACACUAACGUAAGUUGCACUGGACAAUACACAAAUGCUUAGCUUCAUAAUCAAACUGAUCAAUGAAGAAUUGGUAUCCUUUAUCAAGUUUUGAACGUGUUGUAAGUGAUAAUCUGUCUGCAAAUUGCUGUACAUCAUCUAGAGGUAUUUCCGGCAGAUGUAGAAGGGACUGGGUAAACUCUAUAGCAUUCCACUAUGCUGGAAGAAGUAACCAUACACUGCUUUGAGUCAGAGCAAAUGUUGUGUGACAUCACGUGAAAAGGGUCUAUUAUGACAGUCUGGAGUUUUAUAUCUCAACCUCAAGCAAUGUCAAAGCCUUAAAAUCCUUUACAUUGUGUACAAUGUAUAAUACUUUUUAAUAAUUUAUGUUUUUUUAUAAUGUACAAUUGAUUGUGUGUUGCAUAUAAAAUGGAGGGAUGGAGGGAGGGAAAUAGGGGAAAAAGUUGAGGAUUCAAGGCUUUUUUUCUUUUUCUUAAAUUAAUUUAUUGUAAAUUAUAUCAUACUUGCCUGCCCCCCAAUAUUUUGUUUGUUUUGCAUUUUGUUUUGUUUUUUCUCCCUGGUUCUUUGUUUACCCGUUAUAUUUUUGUUAUUGUUAAUAUCUGUUGUGAGUUGUAAACAUAUGUAUGUGUAUUUACUUUUGUAUAUGCUCAAUAAAUAAAUUCAACAAAC